GACUGUUUCACUGGAUUUGUCGCUAGUCGCUUUUGUGAAAAAAAGUUGCUAAGGGGGUCUGAAAAGUCUCUAAAUCUAGCAACAAAGUCGCUAGGUUGGCGACACUGGUUUCACCUCUGUGUAAUGUAGUUCUUGCAUAUAGUAAAGUCUCAAAGUUGCCGCUGUCAUUACAUUACCAUCGUCAUAUUUUAUACAGGC